GAUGAACGCUGGCGGCGUGCCUAAUACAUGCAAGUCGAGCGAACAGACGAGGAGCUUGCUCCUCUGACGUUAGCGGCGGACGGGUGAGUAACACGUGGAUAACCUACCUAUAAGACUGGGAUAACUUCGGGAAACCGGAGCUAAUACCGGAUAAUAUAUUGAACCGCAUGGUUCAAUAGUGAAAGACGGUUUUGCUGUCACUUAUAGAUGGAUCCGCGCCGCAUUAGCUAGUUGGUAAGGUAACGGCUUACCAAGGCAACGAUGCGUAGCCGACCUGAGAGGGUGAUCGGCCACACCGGACCUGAGACACGGUCCAGACUCCUACGGGAGGCAGCAGUAGGGAAUCUUCCGCAAUGGGCGAAAGCCUGACGGAGCAACGCCGCGUGAGUGAUGAAGGUCUUCGGAUCGUAAAACUCUGUUAUUAGGGAAGAACAAAUGUGUAAGUAACUAUGCACGUCUUGACGGUACCUAAUCAGAAAGCCACGGCUAACUACGUG
rnacentral:rRNA from 1 species